AAUAUUCUGUAGAAAAUUGUUGAAUAGAUUUUGGUUUCAAUUGUGUGGAAGAAACUGAAAAAGUUAUACUCUACAAAAUCGCUGAUAAACUACCUCUAUCUAAAGAAAAUGUUGUACAGUAUGAAAAUGAGUGAAUGUAUGUCCAUUAAACGACAUCUUAAUGAGUUAAUUCUUUAAUUAUAGACUUGAAUAACAUAGAUAUUAAG
rnacentral:lncRNA from 1 species